GCUGUGGCUCGGUGGUACAUUAUCUGCUGUGCAUGCAGAAGGUCCCAGGUUCAAUCCCUGUCAUCUCCA